CACGUGGGGUGCAAACGUUGCUCGGAAUUAUUGGGCGUAAAGCGCGCGUAGGCGGUUACUUAAGUCGGAUGUGAAAGCCCUCGGCUUAACUGAGGAAGUGCACCCGAAACUGAGUAGCUAGAGUACGAAAGAGGGUCGCGGAAUUCCCGGUGUAGAGGUGAAAUUCGUAGAUAUCGGGAGGAACACCGGUGGCGAAGGCGGCGACCUGGGUCGAGACUGACGCUGAGGCGCGAAAGCGUGGGGAGCAAACAGG
rnacentral:rRNA from 1 species